GACGAACGCUGGCGGCGUGCUUAACACAUGCCAGUCGAACGCUGAAGCACCAGCUUGCUGGUGUGGAUGAGUGGCGAACGGGUGAGUAAUACGUGAGUAACCUGCCCUUGACUCUGGGAUAAGCCCGGGAAACUGGGUCUAAUACUGGAUGCUACAUGUCACCGCAUGGUGGUGUGUGGAAAGGGUUUACUGGUCUUGGAUGGGCUCACGGCCUAUCAGCUUGUUGGUGAGGUAAUGGCUCACCAAGGCGACGACGGGUAGCCGGCCUGAGAGGGUGACCGGCCACACUGGGACUGAGACACGGCCCAGACUCCUACGGGAGGCAGCAGUGGGGAAUAUUGCACAAGGGGCGAAAGCCUGAUGCAGCGACGCCGCGUGAGGGAGGACGGCCUUCGGGUUGUAAACCUCUUUCAGCAGGGAAGAAGCCACAAGUGACGGUACCUGCAGAAGAAGCGCCGGCUAACUACGUG
rnacentral:rRNA from 1 species